rnacentral:rRNA from 1 species
GUGUCAGCAGCCGCGGUAAUACGUAGGGGGCAAGCGUUGUCCGGAUUCAUUGGGCGUAAAGAGCUCGUAGGCGGUUCAGUAAGUCGGGUGUGAAAGCUCCGAGCUCAACUCGGAGAGGCCACCCGAUACUGCUGUGACUUGAGUCCAGUAGAGGAGCGUGGAACUCCUGGUGUAGCGGUGAAAUGCGCAGAUAUCAGGAAGAACACCUGCAGCGAAGGCGGCGCUCUGGGCUGGAACUGACGCUGAGGAGCGAAAGCGUGGGUAGCAAACAGGAUUAGAUACCCUGGUAGUCCACGCCGUAAACGUUGGGCACUAGGUGUGGGGAGCCGUCAACGCUCUCCGUGCCGUAGCUAACGCAUUAAGUGCCCCGCCUGGGGAGUACGGCCGCAAGGCUAAA